AACGAACGCUGGCGGCAGGCUUAACACAUGCAAGUCGAACGAGAUCUUCGGAUCUAGUGGCAGACGGGUGAGGAACACGUGGGAACAUCCCUUUCAGUUCGGAAUAACGUUGGGAAACUAACGCUAAUACCGGAUACGUCCUUCGGGAGAAAGAUUUAUCGCUGAAAGAUUGGCCCGCGUCUGAUUAGCUAGUUGGUGAGGUAAUGGCUCACCAAGGCUACGAUCAGUAGCUGAUCUGAGAGGAUGAUCAGCCACAUUGGGACUGAGACACGGCCCGAACUCCUACGGGGGGCAGCAGUGGGGAAUAUUGGACAAUGGUCGCAAGCCUGAUCCAGCCAUAGCGCGUGAGUGAUGACGGCCUUCGGGUUGUAAAGCUCUUUUGUCCGGGAAGAUAAUGACUGUACCGGAAGAAUAAGCCCCGGCAAACUUCGUGCCAGCAGCCGCGGUAA
rnacentral:rRNA from 1 species